rnacentral:miRNA from 1 species
AUGAGUUUCAUCAAAUCAUGU